UAAGUGAAGAGUUUGAUCCUGGCUCAGAGUGAACGCUGGCGGUAGGCCUAACACAUGCAAGCCGAACGGCAGCACAGGAGAGCUUGCUCUCUGGGUGGCGAGUGGCGGACGGGUGAGGAAUACAUCGGAAUCUACUCUGUCGUGGGGGAUAACGUAGGGAAACUUACGCUAAUACCGCAUACGACCUACGGGUGAAAGCAGGGGAGCUUCGGGCCUUCCGCGAUUGAAUGAGCCGAUGUCGGAUUAGCUAGUUGGCGCGGUAAAGGCCCACCAAGGCGACGAUCCG
rnacentral:rRNA from 1 species